UACGUAGGGUGCGAGCGUUGUCCGGAAUUAUUGGGCGUAAAGAGCUCGUAGGCGGUCUGUCGCGUCGAUCGUGAAAACUUGGGGCUUAACCCUGAGCUUGCGGUCGAUACGGGCAUGACUGGAGUUCAGCAGGGGAGACUGGAAUUCCUGGUGUAGCGGUGAAAUGCGCAGAUAUCAGGAGGAACACCGGUGGCGAAGGCGGCAUCCUGGACCGGCAUUGACGCUGAGGCGCGAAAGCCAGGGGAGCAAACGGG
rnacentral:rRNA from 1 species